AUACGGAGGGGGCUAGCGUUGUUCGGAAUUACUGGGCGUAAAGCGUACGUAGGCGGUUUGGUAAGUCAGAUGUGAAAGCCCUGAGCUCAACUUGGGAACUGCAUUUGAAACUGCCUGACUAGAGUGUGAUAGAGGAUAGUGGAAUUUCCGGUGUAGCGGUGAAAUGCGUAGAGAUCGGAAGGAACACCAGUGGCGAAGGCGGCUAUCUGGAUCAACACUGACGCUGAGGUACGAAAGCGUGGGGAGCAAGCAGGAUUAGAAACCCCAGUAGUCC
rnacentral:rRNA from 1 species